GCCGGUGCCGGCGUGGGCCUGAUGUCGUGGCUGGAUGCCGCGCCGGAUGUGGCCGACGGCCGUCUGGCGUUCGUGCCGUUCCGCCGCCACC
rnacentral:tRNA from 1 species